GGUUAGUAUACGCAAUUAGUCUAUACGUAUGUGUCAUAAAUAAUAUUGAUAACCAUCUCAGCGGACGACAUAUUUCACUCCAUGAGUAGGCAGCCGAUGUAGUUGGACCAUACUGGGCAAGUAUAGGAUAUAGGGUAGGUAAUUUAGUUUAAACGCUGAAAGUCGAAAGUAACAACGGAAUAUCGUUUCAAUCGAAAACCUAUCCGGAGUGGAGCUCG